UACGAAGGGGACUAGCGUUGUUCGGAAUUACUGGGCGUAAAGCGCACGUAGGCGGAUCUGCCAGUCAGGGGUGAAAUCCCGGGGCUCAACCUCGGAACUGCCUUUGAUACUGCAAAUCUCGAGUCCGAUAGAGGUGGGUGGAAUUCCUAGUGUAGAGGUGAAAUUCGUAGAUAUUAGGAGGAACACCAGUGGCGAAGGCGGCUCACUGGUCCGGCACUGACGCUGAGGUGCGAAAGCGUGGGGAGCAAACAGG
rnacentral:rRNA from 1 species